GGUGAACGCUGGCGGCGUGCUUAAGACAUGCGAGUCGAACGCAGUCUUCGGACUGAGUGGCGCACGGGUGAGUAACACGUAACUGACCUACCCCCAAGUCGCGGAUAACUGGCCGAAAGGUCAGCUAAUACGUGAUGUGAUGUCCCCUUUCUGGGGGCCCAUUAAAGUUUACCUGCUGGGGGAUGGGGUUGCGUUCCAUCAGCUAGUUGGCGGGGUAAAGGCCCACCAAGGCAACGACGGAUAGCCGGCCUGAGAGGGUGGCCGGCCACAGGGGCACUGAGACACGGGUCCCACUCCUACGGGAGGCAGCAGUUAGGAAUCUUCCACAAUGGGCGAAAGCCUGAUGGAGCGACGCCGCGUGAGGGAUGAAGGUUCUCGGAUCGUAAACCUCUGAAUCAGGGACGAAAGACGCGUAAGCGGGAUGACGGUACCUGAGUAAUAGCACCGGCUAACUCCGUGCCAGCCGCCGCAGUAA
rnacentral:rRNA from 1 species